rnacentral:rRNA from 1 species
GACAGAGGAUGCAAGCGUUGUCCGGAAUCAUUGGGCGUAAAGGGCGCGUAGGUGGCCCGGUCAGUUCGUGGUGAAAGCGCGGGGCUCAACCCUGCGUCGGCCAUGAAUACUGCCGCGGCUGGAGCACUGUAGAGGCAGGCGGAAUUCCGGGUGUAGCGGUGGAAUGCGUAGAGAUCCGGAAGAACACCGGUGGCGAAGGCGGCCUGCUGGGCAGUUGCUGACACUGAGGCGCGACAGCGUGGGGAGCAACAGGAU